AUUGCACGCUGGCGGCAGGCUUAACACAUGCAAGUCGAGCGAGUGGCGGACGGGUGAGUAAUGUCUGGGAAACUGCCUGAUGGAGGGGGCUAACUACUGGAAACGGUAGCUAAUACCGCAUACCAUCAGAUGUGCCCAGAUGUGAUUAGCUAGUAGGUGGGGUAAGGGCUCACCUAGGCGACGAUCCCUAGCUGUUCUGAGAGGAUGAACAGCCCCACUGGAACUGAGACACGUUCCAGACUCCUACGGGAGGCAGUAGUGGGGAAUAUUGCCCAAGGGGCGCAAGCCUGAUGCAGCCAUGCCGCGUGUGUGAAGAGGGCCUUCGGGUUGUAAAGCACUUUCAGCGAGGAGGCGUUACCCGCAGAAGAAGCACCGGCUAACUCCGUGCCAGCAGCCGCGGUAAUAC
rnacentral:rRNA from 1 species